rnacentral:rRNA from 1 species
AGUGAACGCUGGCGGUAGGCCUAACACAUGCAAGUCGAACGGCAGCACAGUAAGAGCUUGCUCUUACGGGAGGCGAGUGGGGGAGGGGUGAAGAAUACAUCGGAAUCUACUUUUUCGUGGGGGAUAACGUAGGGAAACUAACGCUAAUACCGUAUACUACCUACGGGUGAAAGCAGGGGAUUUGCGGACCUUGCGCGCUUGUAUGAGCCGAUGUGGGAUUAGCUAGUUGGUGGGGUAACGUCCCACCAAGGCGACGAUCCGUAGCUGGUCUGAGAGGAUGACCAGCCACACUGGAACUGAGACACGGUCCAGACUCCUACGGGAGGCAGCAGUGGGGAAUAUUGGACAAUGGGCGCAAGCCUGAUGCAGCCAUGCCGCGUGGGUGAAGAAGGCCUUCGGGUUGUAAAGCCCUUUUGUUGGGAAAGAAAAGAAGCAGGUUAAUACCCCGCUGUUCUGACGUUACCCAAAGAAUAAGCACCGGCUAACUUCGUG